CCGAACUGAUUGUAUAUGUAUGUACAUGCACACGAAAUUGUGUUUACUGUCUGCAGAAAAUUCGUUCAUAAUCAUAUAAAAAUAUGUAUAACAAGUGGUUCGUCUGGCAAAGUAUUUUUUUUAAAAAUAAUUUAUUAUGUAUGGUUCUAAGUAUAUUGCAGCCUAUUAUCUUUAUCACAAAAAAGAUGAAAAGUUAAAUUUUUCACUCUGUUGAUUGCAAUGUAUAAAAUGAGAUGAGCUUGUGAAAUGGAAAUUUGCAUCUUGUUGUUGAAUUUUCAAAGUGUAUCGUAGAAAAAUUAUACAUUUCGUAAAUGAAAAUAAUAUCGUGCAGUUUCAUUCAGAUGAUAUAUACCUACUUUUACGGGUACCUGUACCUUGUUAAUUGAGUAAGACUAAGGAUUACCAAAUUAUCCUAUCUGCUUUUGGUUUUCCAUUUUUCUCCUGAUUUUCGCAUCGAAGACGGAUCUACAAGGAAAAAGAAUUAAUGAUGGAGGUAUUGAAAUUCAUUAUUUUAACGUGGCUCGCAAGCUUCGUACCUGCAGCAUAUUGCCAAAUGGGAAAUUUUAGCUCAGAAGCGAUUUGUAACAUCACCAUCUUCAAACAAGAUGGCCCUUAUUCUCGAGCUGUAUCAAACGUACUGCAAAAUAAAAUGGUAGACAGGUGUCCCGAAAAUUACACAAAUGAAACUAUCAUUACCAGUUGUGAACAUUUCAACUCUUUGAAAAGUCUGGAUUCAGACUUAUACAUUCCGGUAACAGACAACAUUACGAACAUUACCUACGUGAAUAAAUAUUGUGGCUAUUGUAAUAACUACGAGUACAAUGGUACCAAUUGGGAGUGGAGGUGGAGUACUUGGUCCCCUACAUUCGUAUACCUGGAAAACCAAGACCCAUGCGAAAACUACACUUCCGAAAUAAAGGCAUCUGAGGUCAAUGACCUUGACAAAUGGACGCAAACUUUUCUAAACAAUGGAUUGCUGACACUGAAAAUCACAUCAUAUUCCAGAACUUUGGAGUGCUCCGGGAAAAAGAACUGGCCAAUAAAGUUGUUAUACUGGGAGAUUCCUUGUUUAGUACAAAAUUAUAAAAAUGGCCAAGACACCAGGUUGAAGUCGUGUCAAUAUUUCGAUGAAAAUGACAAAAGUUGCAUGAAAAUGGAUUUCAUUAUCGAAGGGAUCUCUUUUCAUUAUGGUUCCAAGUCAUACUAUCAUUUAUCACAAAUAAAUCUAACCGGAGGUGAUUAUAUAGUCCAAAGUGGAAAUGAAGACAUAUUCUAUAUGUGUAAACAAAUUUACAAGGUUGGAUACUGGGGUAAAUUUGCACUCAUUAUUGCUUCUGUAGCAUUUCUGUGUGCUUAUUUAAUCAUGAACUUAAAUAAAAGAUAUUUUGAAAAUUUCUCAAACCAACUUUUGUAUGUUUACUCGAUAGGAUUGAUAAUAAUGAGUGUACUGCUUACCUACAUCUAUCUGAAAUUUCCAGUUUCCGAUGUUUCUUUCUAUCUCGUUAAAAUUUUUUGGACUUAUCACUUCCUCUGGACGGUGUUAAUUUUUAUUGUAUUUUGUAAUUUAGCGUUCUGCCUUUGCGAUCGGUGUGAAAGUGUAACCAAAGAGAAUAUAAAUGCAUGCGAUUCAUUACUUGCUUUCCUUUUUGGCCUCGUAUUACCCGUAUCCUUAACACUAAUGUAUCUCCACUUCUUAGGAACUUAUGAAAAUCAGUGUCCUUUAAUUCCUGGGCAUACGGCUGUGCCAGUCGUAUCUCGUGGAAAUUUAGAAUUUAUGAAAUUCGUCUUAGAUACGAGCUUAUCUUACUUAAUGCCUAUACUAUUUGUUGUGGGGAUACUUUGCUCACUGAUUGAUAUGUCAUGUGAUCAAGUGAGAUCUGCAACGUCUAUAAGAAAAUCUCCGAUGGUUUUAUUCAAAAUGGUGUUGAUUAUGGGUAUCCACUGUAUACUGUAUAAACUUUGUUCAGGGUAUUAUGGGAAUGAAAAUACGUACACUGUUUUUGGUCUAUCCAUAAAUAUGGAUACGGUGGCACAGUUCAGUAUUGAUAUUCACGGUGUGCUUGUAUUUUUCAUUUUCUUAACAAGGAAUACCAUGAUUAAUGAUUUUUUGAUAAAGCGUGGAUAUAAACGGGGAAAUACUACCCAACAGAAUUGUAAUGGUGCGACAGAAACCACUGUUCAAUUUCAGUCUUGAUGUGAGACUAAAAUCGUGUUUUUCUCAAAUAAUGUUCCAAUUGCCAGUUGUUGAUAAGUAAGUAGGUACCUAUACAUAUUGUUACCCAGGUACCGCAUUUUAUUUCAAGUAAAAACAUGUUAUGAUUAUUUCCAUAUUGUCAGUACAUAUAAAUAAGAAAAUUAUGUGCGAGUAUUAUAAUUUUGAAAAUUGGGAAAAAAUACUUCUAAGAUUUAAUGAAAUGAAUUUCUCGAAUUGUAACUGUCUAAAAUAAUUUUCAAACAAUUUAAGUACCUAUGCAUUUUUUUUUUCAGACUUGAGAUUAUAAAAUAAAAAUAAAUUUGUUUUAAGACACUUUGCAUUUAUGGGGUGAUAUUUUUGUACUUAUUAUGCAAUGAUUUUUUUUUGUAUAUUUUUGAUUUAAGUUUGUUUCAUUGUUGUUUUUUUUUUUUAAUUUUUAAACAAAAUAUACUUAGGUAUAUUAAUACAUGCAAUUUCUUUUCAUUUAUUUUAAUAAGUUCAGUGCUUAUUCUUCAAUUUAAACCAACUGUAGAAUUUUGUAUCUAUCCAAAGUUGCAGCUAUGUUCCUAAACCUAUGUGAGAAAAUACAUUUUUUGACCCUGAUAUGUUUUUGUGUUGCGGUGUUUGUUCAAAAUUUUUCAAGAGUCAAUCUAUAUUUUGAGAUUCACUACAUAUGUACUUCUCUUUUUUUAUAGGUACCUACAAAAAAAAAAAAAAAAAAAACACCAAUUUGAUUGCUGCUGUUGUAUAUUGAAUGAAAUAGAUUUAUCUUUUACAAAACAUAUUCUCAAGUACCUAUACUUAUUUAUUGUAUAAGUGUACAAUGUACAAAUCACAUUUUCUAUGGUAUGUAGGUAGAUCAAGCACCUAGUACAAUAUUUACAUCGUAAUUUUAUAUUUUGUUUUAUUUAUUAUAAACUUAUUUAUAAGUUAAUUAUCCGAUAAUAA